UCGGGAAUUUUGGGCAAUGGGCGAAAGCCUGACCCAGCAACGCCGCGUGAGGGAUGAAGGCCCUCGGGUCGUAAACCUCUGUCGGGAGGGGAGAACGGUUGCCGUUCAAACAGGACGGGAGCCUGACGGUACCUCCAAAGGAAGCACCGGCUAACUCCGUGCCAGCAGCCGCGGUAAUACGGAGGGUGCAAGCGUUGUUCGGAAUCAUUGGGCGUAAAGCGCGUGUAGGCGGCUUGGCAAGUCGGUUGUGAAAGCCCGGGGCCCAACCCCGGAUUGCAUCUGAAACUGCCUCGCUAGAGUCCCGGAGAGGAAGGCAGAAUUCCCGGUGUAGGGGUGAAAUCCGUAGAUAUCGGGAGGAAUACCAGCGGCGAAGGCGGCCUUCUGGACGGUGACUGACGCUGAGACGCGAAAGCGUGGGGAGCAAACAGGAUUAGAUACCC
rnacentral:rRNA from 1 species